rnacentral:rRNA from 1 species
GCGGGACUAGCUCAGGAUGUGAAUCUGCGCUUUUAUGGCGCCGAAUUGUGGUCUGUAGACUUUGACAUUAUCUGCCGAGCCAAGUUCCUUGGAAAAGGACAGCUGAGAGGGUGAGACUCCCGUCCGCCUGGUGGAGUGAGUCAUUUGUCAACGAGUCGAGUUGUUUGGGAUUGCAGCUCUAAUUUGGUGGUAAAUUCCAUCUAAAGCUAAAUAUUGGUGGGAGACCGAUAGCGUACAAGUACCGUGAGGGAAAGAUGCAAAGAACUUUGAAAAGAGAGUUAAAGAGUACCUGAAACUGCUGAAACGGAAGCGAAGGAAACCAGUGUUUGUUGGUUCAUAUUUCCCCGGCCACUUGUGGCUUGGGCGCUGUGAGCUUUCGUGAGUUUGGGUUGGUUGAUCCCUUUGGAAGAGCGCAGUCAGAGUUGAUGUCUGUUGCUAGCACUGGGUUUGACUGACGCAGACGAAAUGGUUUUCUUUACCCCGUCUUGAAACACGGACCAAGGAGUCUAACAUAUGUGCGAGUACAGGGGUGUCAAACCCCGGUGCGCAAUGAAAGUGACAGUGGUUGGAAUUUUGCACAAUCCGCCGGCCUCAAUCCUUCGGGAGAACGGUCUGAGUGUGAGCAUACAUGUUGGGAC